CCAAACUUGGUCAUUUAGAGGAAGUAAAAGUCGUAACAAGGUCUCCGUUGGUGAACCAGCGGAGGGAUCAUUACAGAGUUGCAAGACUCCCUAAACCAUCGUGGACGCUACCUUCAAACGUUGCUUCGGCGGGCGGCCCGCUCCCCUGACGCCCCCCGUGGCGCCCGGGGCGCAGGCCCCCCGGCCCCCCCGCGGGGGCGCCCGCCGGAGGCACCCAACUCUUGCUAAUUUUAGGCCUCUCUGAGUCUUCUGUACUGAAUAAGUCAAAACUUUCAACAACGGAUCUCUUGGUUCUGGCAUCGAUGAAGAACGCAGC
rnacentral:misc_RNA from 1 species